rnacentral:tRNA from 1 species
AGAAAAGUAAGCUAAAUAAGCUAAUGGGUUCAUACCCCGUAAAUAGAGUGUGUGCUCUCUUCUCUG